rnacentral:lncRNA from 13 species
GGGCGCGUUCGCGCGCGGCCGCCGCCGCCGCCGCGUCCGCUUUGGUCCGCUUUUCCCUUGCGAAUCGACGAUUCAACGGUGAAUUUUCUUGAACGGACGAACGAACGAGAAAUGAUUUCUGGUAUGUUGGCGACGAGUCUAACCAUUGGCGGCGUAAAAUGUAUGUCGUUCGUGUUUCGAGAGCUCAGCCGCGGAAUCCGUUCGCUUCGCCAAGGAGCGUUUGCGUCGAGAGGAAUGAAUCGCGAGUUUUUUUGUGAAAGAAAGCGAUAAAUCGAGAGACUAGAAUUUUACCUGAAAAUAUCUGCUCUAUGCUGCCGGAUGAUUUACAAUAGUCCAUGAGUGACGGGUCGUAACUUAUCAAAGUCUGUCUGGCGUCCUCGCACCAGUUCCAAAAAAUGAUCUUCUGAUCCCGCGCGGCGAGAUCCGACAGGAGCAAUGCCAGGUUUUUCGCGACUGUAGCAUCAAUCCUGAGCACGUGACGACCCUCCACUACCACCGUAUUUUACACUUUUUCCCUGGUGCACUUGGUAUACGCGCGUCCGAAUCAUUUCUUACGUGGAUUUGCGGUGGGACUUACCACGACAUUACUCGCUCUCGGAGGUACUCCGCUGC